GGCAGGCUUAACACAUGCAAGUCGAGCGGGCAUCCUUGUGGUGUCAGCGGCAGACGGGUGAGUAACGCGUGGGAACGUGCCCUUCGGUUCGGAAUAACUCAGGGAAACUUGAGCUAAUACCGGAUACGUGCGAGAGCAGAAAGGUUUACUGCCGAAGGAUCGGCCCGCGUCUGAUUAGCUAGUUGGUGAGGUUACGGCUCACCAAGGCGACGAUCAGUAGCUGGUCUGAGAGGAUGAUCAGCCACACUGGGACUGAGACACGGCCCAGACUCCUACGGGAGGCAGCAGUGGGGAAUAUUGGACAAUGGGGGCAACCCUGAUCCAGCCAUGCCGCGUGAGUGAUGACGGCCUUAGGGUUGUAAAGCUCUUUUCUCCGGGACGAUAAUGACGGUACCGGAGGAAUAAGCCCCGGCUAACUUCGUGCCAGCAGCCGCGGUAAUACGAAGGGGGCUAGCGUUGCUCGGAAUCACUGGGCGUAAAGGGCGCGUAGGCGGCUGAUUUAGUCGAGGGUGAAAGCCCGUGGCUCAACCACGGAAUGGCCUUCGAUACUGAUUGGCUUGAGACCGGAAGAGGACAGCGGAACUGCGAGUGUAGAGGUGAAAUUCGUAGAUAUUCGCAAGAACACCAGUGGCGAAGGCGGCUGUCUGGUCCGGUUCUGACGCUGAGGCGCGAAAGCGUGGGGAGCAAACAGGAU
rnacentral:rRNA from 1 species